GACGAACGCUGGCGGCGUGCUUAACACAUGCAAGUCGAACGAAGAGCGAUGGAAGCUUGCUUCUACUCAAUCUUAGUGGCGAACGGGUGAGUAACGCGUAAUCAACCUGCCCUUCAGAGGGGGACAACAGUUGGAAACGACUGCUAAUACCGCAUACGAUCUAACCUCGGCAUCGAGGAUAGAUGAAAGGUGGCCUCUACAUGUAAGCUAUCACUGAAGGAGGGGAUUGCGUCUGAUUAGCUAGUUGGAGGGGUAACGGCCCACCAAGGCGAUGAUCAGUAGCCGGUCUGAGAGGAUGAACGGCCACAUUGGGACUGAGACACGGCCCAGACUCCUACGGGAGGCAGCAGCUGGGGAAUCUUCCGCAAUGGACGAAAGUCUGACGGAGCAACGCCGCGUGAGUGAUGACGGCCUUCGGGUUGUAAAGCUCUGUUAAUCGGGACGAAAGGCCUUCUUGCGAAUAGUUAGAAGGACUGACGGACCG
rnacentral:rRNA from 1 species